rnacentral:rRNA from 1 species
AUUGCCUCAGUAACGGCGAGUGAAGCGGCAACAGCUCAAAUUUGAAAUCUGGCCCCAGGCCCGAGUUGUAAUUUGCAGAGGAUGCUUUUGGCGCGGUGCCUUCCGAGUUCCCUGGAACGGGACGCCAUAGAGGGUGAGAGCCCCGUCUGGUUGGAAACCAAGCCUUUGUAAAGCUCCUUCGACGAGUCGAGUAGUUUGGGAAUGCUGCUCARAAUGGGAGGUAUAUGUCUUCUAAAGCUAAAUACCGGCCAGAGACCGAUAGCGCACAAGUAGAGUGAUCGAAAGAUGAAAAGCACUUUGAAAAGAGAGUUAAAUAGCACGUGAAAUUGUUAAAAGGGAAGCGUUCAUGACCAGACUUGGGCCGGUUAAUCAUCCAGCGUUCUUCGCUGGUGCACUUUGCCGGUCCAGGCCAGCAUCAGUUCGUUGCGGGGGAUAAAGGCGUCGGGAAUGUGGCUCUUCGGAGUGUUAUAGCCCUUCGUGUAAUACCCUGCGGUGGACUGAGGUUCGCGCUCUGCAAGGAUGCUGGCGUAAUGGUCAUCAACGACCCGUCUUGAAACACGGACCAAGGAGUCGUCUUCGUAUGCGAGUGUUCGGGUGUAAAACCCCUACGCGUAAUGAAAGUGAACGCAGGUGAGAGCUUCGGCGCAUCAUCGACCGAUCCUGAUGUUCUCGGAUGGAUUUGAGUAAGAGCAUACGGGGCCGGACCCGAAAGAAGGUGAACUAUGCCUGUAUAGGGUGAAGCCAGAGGAAACUCUGGUGGAGGCUCGCAGCGGUUCUGACGUGCAAAUCGAUCGUCAAAUAUGGGCAUGGGGGCGAAAGACUAAU